GUGCUCGCUUCAGCAGCACAUAAUACUAAAAUUGGAACGAUGAAGAGAUUAGCAUGCCCCUGCACAAGGAUGACAAGCAAAUUUGUGAAUCAUUCCAUAUUUAA
ensembl:snRNA U6 U6 spliceosomal RNA